CCUCCCGGGAAGUCCUCG
rnacentral:snRNA from 1 species